rnacentral:rRNA from 1 species
AAACCAACAGGGAUUGCCCCAGUAACGGCGAGUGAAGCGGCAAAAGCUCAAUUUUGAAAUCCCCCCCGGGGAGUUGUAAUUUGAAGACUAGGGGAUUUGGCCUAAACCUGCGCAAGUCCAUUGGAACAUGGCGCCUAAGAGGGUGAGAGCCCCGUCGCGCAGGCCGCAGCCUUGACAUCCCCCCGUCAAAGAGUCGAGUUGUUUGGGAAUGCAGCUCAAAGUGGGUGGUAAAUUCCAUCUAAAGCUAAAUAUUGGCGAGAGACCGAUAGCGAACAAGUACAGUGAUGGAAAGAUGAAAAGCACUUUGAAAAGAGAGUGAAACAGUACGUGAAAUUGUUGAAAGGGAAGGGCUUGCAAGCAGACACGAGUUCGCUCGGGCCAGCAUCAAUUUCGCGAGGUGGAUAACACGCCAGGAAUGUGGCAGGCUCCGGCCUGUGUUAUAGCCUGCGCGCCAUACACCUCCGCGAGAUUGAGGCCUGCUCCAAAAGGAUGCUGGCGUAAUGGUUGCAAGUCGC